UUACUCUGUUACCUAGGCUGGAGUGCAGGACACAAUUACAACUCACUGAAGCUUCAACCUUUUGAGCGCAAGUGAUCUCCUUCCUCAGCAAAGGAAAGAAGUUUCCAGAAGGAAAGAAACUGGAAGAAAAGUGGAACUGUGGAAGUUCUCUCUGCAGAUCAACGAGCAUGACAGUCUGUGAAAAAAGCCUGAACUAGUGCUGCGUAAGGACACUGAAGUCUAAGGUAAGUGAGAAGAAUAUAAAAGACCUCUUGUUGCUUUAUGUGGGAUACAGCCUAGGUGACCCUAUCACGGCUUCUAGGAGGACUUUCAUCUGCUGUAGACACCUACAACACGCUAUGCUGUCUUGGUGUAAAAUCACAAUUUAUUGUAAUUAAUUACCACUCAGAAGGUCAAACUUUUGAGCAUAAGCAUUAUAUUCUGUUCAUUGUUGAUGUCUCAGUGCCUAUCCUAGCAGAAAGUCCUCAGUAAAUACAUGUUUUAUUAAUUAACUACAAAUCAGGGUACUGAGAAAACUUGUAAAUUAAAUUAUUGGUCCAUGCUAACAAACCU